CAAGAUCUUCACCUGCACUCUCUUGAUCGACCUCCUGAUCAGCUUCUUCAGAUGAAUCACCUCAAUCCUCGUAUUCGUCAUCCUCUUCACGUUGUUGUAACCAAAAUUUAGAUUUGAUCACUUUUGCUUGGAUAAAUUCAUCAUUGUUUCUAGUUGAUAGAAAAAGCUGCCCAUAGUAAUUGAGAGGCGUAAGUUUGUUGAAUCUUGUUGUUGGGGAUAUGCUCACUACGAUUUGGAUUGGGCUCUCCCACAGUUGGAAGUUGGGGAGAGACGAUGGCAGCCAUGGCUGCUCAAAACACAAAUCCUGCGAUCUACAGUAAACUUCAUAUUAAUUCAUGAAGAUUUUCAAGGCUCCAUUGACGUGAAGAAGCAGAUGAAUUUAAUAAAAUUUCUGCACGCUACAGUAAUCGCUAAAUGAAAAAUUAAGAUCUGGAAAAACUGGCUAUUGAUUUGAGGAUGAAACCAACUGGGGAUUGUUCGCAAAGAGAAGGGGGUUCUUUUGAGACCAAUUUGGUGAAUUUCCACUGCCGGAAUAUGAAUUUAUGGCCGGUGAACUGUUGUGUCGCUACUGUUCAUUGCAGGGAAUAUUAUGCAGCUCAGGGAUAACAAAGCAACAAAAGUUUUGUCAUUAGGACAUACGUUGAAGAUUAAAACUUUUUUUUUUUGAUUUUGUUAAAUUAGGGUCACUCACAUGGUAAGUGUAUUUCGGUUGGUGAGGUCCUGGUGUAUAUUUUAGUUAUCCAGGUUUGUAAUUGAGGAAAGUUUUGGCACCAAAGCUUUUCUCUAGUGGUAAGAGCGCAACUUGUGAUGUGUGGGUUAGACAUACAUCACCUGCCACAAACCAAAGCCUAGUAUUUAACCGGAGAAGGUAGAGGGAUGGGCCAAUUAUCCGACGAGCUUCGAACCGUACCCUCGGUUAUAAAAAAAAUAAGAAUGUUUGAGGAAAGUUAAAAAUUGCAAUCUUGAUAGUGAUUUAGUCUUGUUUACGGCUUAAGGACUCAAACUUGUUUUGUGUUCUUGAGAUUAAGCUUUGUCUCAUGGUACGUGUAUUAGGGUUGUUUUAUUUCAUUGAAAUUUCAGGAAAGUUGCAAUCUUGAUAGGGAUUUAGUCCUCUUUAGUAUUUACUGCUUAAAGGUUCAAACUUGUUUAGCGUUUUUGAGAUUAAACUCUGUCUCAUGGUAUUUGUAGUUCGGUUGUUCCUUCCGUUUAUUUUAAGUUAACCUUGUGGAUUUUUGAGGAAAGUUCCAAGAUUGAGAAUGUCUUAUCCUGUUCUUGGUUUAAGAACCAAUCUUGUUUCAGAAUUUUGACAUUGAUUCUACUGUUGAAUGCAACUAUGGUUACUAAUGGUGCUUUGCUUUCCUGUUUAACAGAAAUGGGUUCAGUCACAUGGUUAUAAGCCUGCUCAGGCUCUAAUGUUGUGGAAACGUCUUUACGGGAAUAAUAUUAAUAUUUGGGCGCAAUGCAAUGAGGAACUAGAAGGUUUGAAUAAAGAUUUCAGGAAAAUGUUGAGUGAACAUGCUGAAUUUAAGACGUUAAACUUGAAGGAUAUUUUGACAGCGUCUGAUGGAACUAAAAAGGUGUCACACCUUCUUUUUUCACCCGCGUCAGCUGGGGGCGCAGAAGGAGUUUUUCCAAUUAAAGGACAAUUGAAACGGGAUUUAUUAUUUAAUUCAGAGUCGCCA